GGACGGGUGAGUAACGCGUGAGUAACCUGCCUCCUUGAGGGGGAUAACAUUCUGAAAAGAAUGCUAAUACCGCAUGACAUAUCGGAAUCACAUGGUUUUGAUAUCAAAGAUUUUAUCGCUUGAAGAUGGACUCGCGUCCGAUUAGUUAGUUGGUGAGGUAACGGCUCACCAAGACCGCGAUCGGUAGCCGGACUGAGAGGUUGAACGGCCACAUUGGGACUGAGACACGGCCCAGACUCCUACGGGAGGCAGCAGUGGGGGAUAUUGCGCAAUGGGGGCAACCCUGACGCAGCAACGCCGCGUGAAGGAUGAAGGUUUUCCGAUUGUAAACUUCUUUUAUUAAGGACGAAAAAUGACGGUACUUAAUGAAUAAGCUCCGGCUAACUACGUGCCAGCAGCCGCGGUAAUACGUAGGGAGCAAGCGUUGUCCGGAUUUACUGGGUGUAAAGGGUGCGUAGGCGGCUUUGCAAGUCAGAUGUGAAAUCUAUGGGCUCAACCCAUAAACUGCAUUUGAAACUGUAGAGCUUGAGUGAAGUAGAGGCAGGCGGAAUUCCCCGUGUAGCGGUGAAAUGCGUAGAGAUGGGGAGGAACACCAGUGGCGAAGGCGGCCUGCUGGGCUUUAACUGACGCUGAGGCACGAAAGCGUGGGUAGCAAACAGGAUUAGAUACCCUGGUAGUCCGCGCU
rnacentral:rRNA from 1 species